GUUGAGAGUCCGCCUGCCGAUGCAGGGGACACAGGUUCGUGCCCGGGUCCGGGAAGAUCCCACGUGCCGCGGAGCGGCUGGGCCCGUGAGCCACGGCCGCUGGGCCUGCGCGUCCGGAGCCUGUGCUCCGCAACGGGAGGGGCCACAACAGUGAGAGGCCCGCGUACCGCAAAAAAGAAGAAAAAGAAAGUGGCAGUGUGCAGUGGUGUGCUGGGUUUCCUCAACAACCCUCUCUCCGGAGGAGGAGAUGUGCUGAUUUUCGUGGUGUAGAUACGCUCACCAGGGCCAGUUUUGAGGGUUAUGUGAGGUGUAAUUCAGAAGACACACAUGCAAGGCUGCAGUGGGUGACACUUACCGGGGGUUCCUAGUGGCCCUUCCAGGCUGGAUGAUCUCCAUUUCUUCUGAAGCCACAGUUCCCCAUCUUCACCAACCUACAGUGAAAAUCUUCAAAUGAGGCCUGGGCAGAGCAUCCCUCUCAAGGCAUGGCCCACCUGGAAAGUACCUGAGACUAAAUCUUCAUGAAAGACUCAGCAUAUGAAGGCACAUGCCAGCAAGGAACUGAGACCCUUAGCCCAUCAGCCUGUGAGGAACUGAAUCCUGCCAACAGCCACCUGAGC